rnacentral:rRNA from 1 species
UGCUAUAUGAAUUAGUAUAUAGUUGUUUCUGCUCAAUGACUUAAAUAGCCGCAGUACUCUGACUGUGCAAAGGUAGCAUAAUCAGUUGGCUUUUAAUUAGAGUCUGGUAUGAACGAAAAUAUGGGUAGUAACUGUCUUAGCACAUUUCUUUGAACUUGUUAAACAAGUGCAAAUGCUUGUAAUUAAACAAUAGACGAGAAGACCCUAGAAACUUGGACAUGUUUUUGUUGGGGCGACAGAAUUACAUUUAACUAAUCUUCUAAUACAUGACGCGAUGCUGAAAGAAUAAGUUACUCUAGGGAUAACAGCAUAAUUUCAUUAGUUUGUGACCUCGAUGUUGGACUAGGUACUAUACCCUUAAGGCAAGGAUAUAUUGUGCUCUGUUCGAGCAAAAUUACCUACAU